rnacentral:rRNA from 1 species
AACGAACGCUGGCGGCAUGCCUAACACAUGCAAGUCGAACGGGAUCCUAGCUUGCUAGGUGAGAGUGGCGGACGGGUGAGUAACACGUGGGAAUCUGCCUUUUGGUUCGGGAUAACCGCGGGAAACUGCGGCUAAUACCGAAUGCCCUCGAGAGAGGAAAGAUUUAUCGCCAGAAGAGGAGCCCGCGUCCGAUUAGGUAGUUGGUGGGGUAAAGGCCUACCAAGCCGACGAUCGGUAGCUGGUCUGAGAGGAUGAUCAGCCACACUGGGACUGAGAUACGGCCCAGACUCCUACGGGAGGCAGCAGUGGGGAAUAUUGGACAAUGGGGGCAACCCUGAUCCAGCAAUGCCGCGUGAGUGAUGAAGGCCUCGGUUGUAAAGCUCUUUUGGCGGGUACGAUGAUGACGGUACCCGCAGAAUAAGCCCCGGCUAACUUCGUGCCAGCAGCCGCGGUAAU